ACGGGGGGAGCAAGCGUUGUUCGGAUUUACUGGGCGUAAAGGGCGCGUAGGCGGCCACCGCAAGUCGACUGUGAAAUCUCCGGGCUUAACUCGGAAAGGUCAGCCGAUACUGCGGGGCUAGAGUGCAGAAGGGGCAACUGGAAUUCUCGGUGUAGCGGUGAAAUGCGUAGAUAUCAAGUGGAACACCGGUGGCGAAGGCGGCAUCCUGGACCGACAUUGACGCUGAACGGCGAAAGCUAGGGGAGCAAACGGGA
rnacentral:rRNA from 1 species